rnacentral:tRNA from 1 species
CACUAUUAAAAAGUGAUUUUGUAAAUCACAACAACACAAUAGUUU